rnacentral:piRNA from 1 species
UGGUCAAUUGAUGUCACACAAUGAACA